UAUCAAGUCCAUAUUUACAUAAUCAUCUUUCUUUUCAGGUUACACCAACAUUGUGUUUAUUUCUAAUAUACUGUUGUAUUAGGUCCAUAUUCACAUCAAU